UCAACGUUAGGAUCUCCUACCCCGACAUAGAGCUUCCCCGGAGUGGCUCUAGCACAUUUCAGGAGAUAAUCUGUGCCCCAACGGAUGUUCUCACGUGCGUUUUUGAGCUCAGGACCCAUCCGCUUACCGUACUCAAGCGUGCUCCAUGAAAGCAUCGUGGUGGUAAACGCCAUUGGGAAAUUGAACUUGAUGUUGUCUCCCGCAUCGUAAUACCCACCAGGUGUACAUGAGCGGUUGAACCAUCAGAAAGGCCGGAGCUAGCCCUCCAGGAGACUUGUUGGUCUCUAGGGAGACGACCAGAUCGCUGACCUUGGAAGAAGAGCAAUGACUUGGAGAGAGCUUCUCUGUAAUUUGGAUUAGCUUCAACAUUUCUCGUGAGAAGAGGCGAGGAAAGGAGAACUAAGAAGAACAGAGAAGUCAUUGUCCAGAGACGGAGAAGUUGAUUACUUUAUGAGUUUUGAGGUACGAAUCUAUGAUGUGAAGGUCCACAUAUUUAUAUACAGGGAAAGUGUGAGAGAGAGGGAUUUGAUCCGGCGCUGAUGGAAGCGAUGAAUACGGCUUUUUUGGAGAAAGUGGCCUUAAUUAACCUUAAUUUCUCCAAUCUAACAUCUUUUUCUGGUUAAAUGCUUAAUUUAUCCGACCGAAUCCCCUUUUUCUUUAACUGUCUCUACUGAUUACAUUUUGUUUAUCCAUUUAAAUUCCUCUUUUUAUGUC